GAGGCAGCAACGGUGUGAGAUGGCCAGCAUCCUGGCAGUUUGACCUGAUUGGAUGAGGUUCCCUAACUCUGGAAAGUGAUUUCCAGAGGAUGGAAGACCACAAAGAGGGCAUUGUUCAUAGCAUUUGAGUAUUCCAAGCAGUUCAGGGUUUAAUACCUUCAGGCAUAAACACCUCUUUAAAAAAUUUACCCAUUAUAUAUGGAAAUCAUUCUAAAAUAGUCUAUCUGAUUCAAGGACUGCGCUUGAUCAUGUACCUAAUACUUCUCCUCACUCGGAAGUUGAUAGAGUACAUGAUUGUUCUUUGAUGUUGUGAUUUAACAUUUUCUUCCUCUGUCAUCUGACUGUCCAAAGUCUCCAUUUUAGAUUGUAACUCUUGGAUGGCUGGCAGAGUGUCUAGCCGUCUAGCAGUUUCUCUUUGUCUCAUAUACAUUUUGGAGUCAGGGUGCUUUUUGAGCAUGAUGGUAAUGAUUCUAACCUGACAUGCCAUGCACUGGGUCUGACUCAUGAAGACACAGGAGCUGGGCUGUAACAUUUCACCAGGUUUUGUGAUGUGGGGUAAAGGAAAGAAGGGAUGGGAGGAUGACUACUGGAAUGCAACUUUUACUCCUCUCCUACCUCAUCUUGUUGAUGUCACAGCCUGGAAAAUGCUGUGCCUUGCAUUAUUUUUGAACAUAUAAUUUGUAUGCCUUUCAUGUGUAUAUUGAUGAAAAAAAGUUUGCGCUCCAUCCUUGCACUGGAGGUUUUUUGCUAUGGCCCACUGGUGUUUAGCUGGGAAAUGAAGUAUACAAAGAACCUAAUGGAUUUGGGCAAUUCCUUUUAUAGGAGACAUAAAAACAAGGUGAGUAUAUCUGGGCAGUAAAUCCUAAAGUUUCAUUUAGCCCCCUGCCACCCACUUAAAUCAAUUCCUCUAUCCAAACAGGCAUAAUUUCCUAUUAUUUUAGCCUUUAUCUUCUCAUAGUCUUUUUCAUACCCAUUGCCAAUAUCCUGAUUCUUACUCAACGCAGUAAGUCUCAUAACUGGUUUCCCCAUGUUUAAUAUUUUGAAUCUAAUCUAUUUUUCAAUUUGUUAUUUGAAUAUUGUUAUAAAUACAAAUUGAAUUCCAAGUAUGAAUAAACAGAGAAUAUAAUAAAGAAUGAUCUCUAAUUAGAGAUUCUGAAUUAUUAUAAUCUAAGCCCCUAAAGUAAACCAUAGAUUUAAAAUGAUUUUUAUAGUACUGAUAUUUUCUCUAUUUUGUUAUGUGUAAAUGUAAUAAAAAUUUGUAUUGAAAAUAAUAACCCAGGUUCUUAUGAAGAACACAUGAUGGUGAAGAAAGGACCCAACAAUGAUGUCAUUUUUUUUUUAACAUUAUCAACACUUUGUGGCCGUUUUAAAGCCAUGUUUGCAAGUAAGUAAGUGUAUGCCCCAUGGACUCCAUUCUUUUCCCUAAAGAGCCUGUGGACUGGGUGAGAACCUCUCAUGCCAUGGGGAAGAAGCCUUCUUUCAUU
rnacentral:lncRNA from 1 species